rnacentral:rRNA from 1 species
UGCCAGCCGCCGCGGUAAUACGUAAGUGGCAAGCGUUAUCCGAAUUUACUGGGCAUAAAGCGCACGCAGGCGGUCAAUUAAGUUAGUUGUGAAAGACUACAGCUUAACUGUAGUUUGCUUCUAAUACUGAUUGACUAGAGAAGAGGAGAGGAAAGUGGAACACACGGUGUAGCGGUGAAAUGCGUAGAUAUCGUGGGGAACACCAGUGGCGAAGGCGACUUUCUGGACUGAUUCUGACGCUGAGGUGCGAAAGCGUGGGGGGCAAACAGGAUUAGAUA